GACGAACGCUGGCGGCGUGCUUAACACAUGCAAGUCGAACGGAAAGGCCCUGCUUUUGUGGGGUGCUCGAGUGGCGAACGGGUGAGUAACACGUGAGUAACCUGCCCUUGACUUUGGGAUAACUUCAGGAAACUGGGGCUAAUACCGGAUAGGAGCUCCUGCUGCAUGGUGGGGGUUGGAAAGUUUCGGCGGUUGGGGAUGGACUCGCGGCUUAUCAGCUUGUUGGUGGGGUAGUGGCUUACCAAGGCUUUGACGGGUAGCCGGCCUGAGAGGGUGACCGGCCACAUUGGGACUGAGAUACGGCCCAGACCCCUACGGGAGGCAGCAGUGGGGAAUAUUGCACAAUGGGCGGAAGCCUGAUGCAGCAACGCCGCGUGCGGGAUGACGGCCUUCGGGUUGUAAACCGCUUUCGCCUGUGACGAAGCGUGAGUGACGGUAGUGGGUAAAGAAGCACCGGCUAACUACGUG
rnacentral:rRNA from 1 species